GGACCCAUGGCGCAACGGUAGCGCGUCUGAUUCCAGUAGAGGACUGAAAGGACUCUUGGAGCCUCCAGAAGGUUGAGCGUUCAAAUCGCUCUGGGUUCA